GUUCAGUCUCCUAUGAGGUCACUGCUCCUUCCCCUGGGUCCCGAUGCACACACUACUUUGUGUGUGCCCUAAAGAGUGAAGUCUCUGUUUCCCCCAGUCCUGUCGAAGUCCUGCAAUCAAAUCCCGCUAGCCUUCAAAGUCUGAUUCUCUGGGAAGUCCCCCUCCCGUUGCCGGAACCCCAGGUUGGGAAGCCUGACGUAAGGCUCAGAACUUUCACUCCAGUGGGUGGACUUCUGUGGUAUAAGUGUUCUCCAGUCUGUGAGUCACCCACCCGGCGGUUAUGGGAUCUGAUUUUAUCAUGAUUGCGCCCCUCCUACCGUCUCAUUGCGGCUUCUCCUCUGUCUUUGGAUGUGGGGUAUCUUUUCUGAUGAGUUCCAGUAUCUUCCUGUCGAUGAUUGUCCAGCAGCUAGCUGUGGUUCUGGUGUUGUCGCAAGAGGGAGCGAGCGCAUGUCCUUCUACCGCACCAUCUUGAACCAGUCUCCCAUAAUCUUUUUCUGAGAGUGGGCACCGCGAAUUGUGGAAGCCUCAGGCCCCACCAAACCCAGAUGUUCCCCAGAAGUACAAAGAAUUUAGUAACAGGGUGUUCCCUUAUUCAACAAGUACUCAUCAAAAGCCUUCUAUGUGCUGGGCAUCCUGCCAGGCCACUGGGGUGUGGGGGUGAACAGUCUCCCAGGUGGCUGGUGGGCUCUGUACUCAGGUGCAUGGUACGGACCUCUGAAAGCACCAUGCCAGCAAAGGUGUACUUUUUAGUGGCAAAGUCCAAUAAGAAUCUGGCAAAACCUAACCCUGCUCACCCACUUGCCCAUGCUGAGCUCAACUUAAGAAAACAUCCAGCGACCUAGAAAAAGCGGGAACCAAGCCAGAGAAGCUCCACUCUGGUCCCUGAGAGGCAAGGGACAGGUGUGCUGGGAGCACUCUGGAGUCCUCCCCAGGCCUUCUGGGACAGAGUAACAAUUUGUUCCCCGCCUCAACCACCGCCCAACUUCCAAGCUAAGAAACUCUGAGCUGUGAGCGAGAAGGCCAACCAAGAUGGAGGGAGACAAAGUCUAAGGAAGACACAAGAAGGAAGACACGAAAUGCACAGAGGCGUUGAGAAAAGACCCAGGCCAACACAGAUGCAAAGACAGGGAUGGAGAGAUGGAGUGACAUGAAAGGAGACUGGGGAAAACAUGGAAGCGAGGAGAAAAGCAGAGCUGAAAAAUAAACACCUGCCACCAGAGAGAGCUCAGAAGACAGCACCAAGAAGAACAGCCAGCAGAGAGAGCCGUCACUACAUGGUCUGGAGGCAGCUGGUCUCUCGGGCACAGCCCUGGACACUGGGACCCAUGCACAGCCUGGGUAGAGAGCAAAGGGCACGAGGGCUGAGGAGAGAAGAGGGCAAGGGAGGACCACCUAGGAAUCCUGGCAGGGUGCACAUACGGGAAGGUGAAAAGACGCCGGAAAUAAGAAAAUGUCAUCACCUUCGGGUGGAUCCCACACCAACAUCCUACCCUGCAACCUCGUUAGCUGUCCAUCCUCAGACAAAAAUAAGGGCCAGCAAAGCAGCCCAGAAUGUAGAAGGACGGUGGGAGCGAGGGGGAGGGAAAGAGAGAACAGGAGAACAGAUAGACAGACGGGAUGUCCCAGCAUCCACCUCUCGAGGGCCAUUCACUUCCUGACAGGAACAUCAUUACCUUGCUCGACAGAAUCGUAUGCUGGCCCAACGUGACAUCUUCAGGGCCGGGGGACCCAGGCACACAGCUCCAGAAGCACUGCGGUGUGCAGAUGGGUGGGCUUUAUCUGCCCCGGGGCCAGCAUCGCACCCAAUGCCAUCACAGGACCUGUCACUUGCUGUAAACAACAUCCCUGACCAAAAAAAAAAAAAAAAAAAAAAAAAAAUCCAACCCAGAAAACAAAACCAAAAACACCCCAUCUGGGCUGGAAACACCAGUAUAUUUCAUCAGGUAAAGGGGAAAAAUACCCUGGCUGUGAAUCAGCAGCGGGGUUUCAGUUCUCCGCCAAAACGGGAGCUAAAAGGCAAAGCCAUAUUCUUCUGGUCUCCGCUUAGGCUCUUGAGGCAGAAAGGGAGAAGGGGCGGGGGUGGGGGAUAGCGAGGAAUGGGGAGGAGAGGGGGAAGAAAUGUAUUUUUCAUCAGCCAGUAUAUAAUUUAUAAACAGCACUAAACAGUUUUUGUUUUCUUUCUCGUCUCUCCCGUGUACGGGCUUGGACAGCAGUCAAGGCUGCGUUAAUUUCUGCUUUGGGUACAGUGUGUUCUUGGAGGCACAUCUGCAAGCGAUCAUAAACUCUCUGGAAUGCUGGCAGAACAUCCAGACCUGCCGGCAGGCCGGUGACGACACCACUCUGGGAAAAAGUUCGGGAAGCAGGCCAGGUUCAGAGCAGGGAGGGAGAGAGGGGAGCGUGCUGGAGAGAGAGCCGGGGAACGUAGCUUCUCUUCCCUCUUCCUGUGCCCCCAUCACCCAAGAGGACCCAGGGGAAGGCAGGCUCUGAGCCACUCACAUCCCAUCUUAACCCAAACCCUCCAUCGUGCCCAGCUCUGCAGGCCUGCUGAGUGAGGCUGAGGUCCUGAGAAGUUUCUUCUCGGUUAUCUCCUGGUUUUACCCUGAUGGCAGAAAGCCAACCAGAAGAAGGGAGUGAGCAGAGAGGGAGCAAAUGAACCGUGGGUUCCAAGCUGCCUGGACAACCCCAGGCUCUUGCUUUGAGCAGAUGCCGGAUCUGGGAAGAGAGAGGGGAGCGAGAGGAAGAAGCAGCAAGGUCAGGAGAAGCCAUCUUUGCAUCCUGAGGUUCCUCUCCAUCAUCGUCACGGGGGCCGGCUCAUCUCCCCGCCUCGCAGUCACAGGGCAUAAACCAGUUACCUCGUUCCCCCACAUGUUCUCUGUCUUUGGGAAGAAGGACCCUGAACCUCAAAGCUUAGUGUUCCCAAAAGAAAAAAAAGGGGGGACAAGUACAACCCACAGAUCUUUGACAUCUCGUGAAAUUUUGUUUCUUCUAUCUCAUCAGGGGAAAGCAUGAGAGAACCAAUCUGGUUUCUGACCCCCAACCCCUCCUGCCCUUUUCCCCGCCAGACGGUGACCUGGCCCCAGAUGAUAUAUGCCCUGGCCACACCAUGCUGCUGCUGGAAUCAGAAGAUCUGUCAGCCAAAGACCAUGUUCCGUCCUGGUGGUUCUGACUGUGGCGAGGAGUCUGGUAUCGGGGUGUUUCUCAAUAGCCAAGGCUCACAGUGCCUGGAGAAGGGACACUGGAGUGGCCAGGCUUCAGGUUUCAGCCGUCACCACCAGGAUAAGCAUCCUCACCCUGGCUCUUGGACUCCCAUCUCUUCCCCCUGCGGGUUUCAGAUCAAGUCUCUCAUCGUGAUGAACACUUUCUGGUGAAAGAAACUUCCAGAACUCAUGACCAACCUUUCUUUGGAACCUGCUGCCAUGCAUCUUCCAGGCUUCAGAGACAUGGGUGUCCUCUCCUGCCCAAUCCUUGGGGGCCUAGUUUAGAAGUGACUGCUCAAUGCUGCUAAAGAAAUUCCUUGAUCUGAGGUGCGGUGCAGGCAUCCUCCUCUCAUCUGAACACUAGUCCAAGCACAAGAGCUUCAAGGGCAGCCUCCAACCUCAUCCUGUGCCUCCGAAGUCCACACAAGGAAGGCCAAUGGCAACCUCACAGCCGCAUAAAGCCUGAGCUUCAGACCAACCUCACCCUUGGGAUGAGUCUUCGUCUCCCCAGCCCGCUAGAAGACAACAGCAGAAAAAGUGGCAGCAGGGAGAGACUCACGCCAGACUCCAGCCUCCCCACCCUCAGCCUCCAGGGACAGCUGACUGCAACAGCUGUUCCCUAAGGGGCGCCCUCUGUACUACACCCUGCAGGAGAAGCUAGGCCUUCCUGUACCCCACACAGCCAAAGACUAAGGGGAGAAUUCUAGAAGGGCCAGCAGCGCUCUUUGUCUGAGAGAGAGGGGUUCAAGGCCCAGCACCACCAAUGUUCCAUUUCUUCCCAAGUUCUCUGCCUGGAGACAAAUGGCAGUGAGAACAGACCAACAGGUAAGAAAGUCUAGAGAGGGAAUUCUGUUCCAAUAACCCAAGGGCUGCCCUUCUUUGCUGUGCCCCCGGGGAGAUGGAAGUGCCUGCCCUAUGAGUUUCACUGAACACACCACACCAGCACUGAAAACUAGGAUCUGUUAUGAGGGAAAGCGAGUGGAGGGAACUACCCACUUUUGCAUGAGGAAAGAUGCAGUGGGGAAGCCAUCCUAUAAGGAAGGGCCUUUAUAAGGUAAUGUGUUCUUUGAUCUCACCCUAAGUGACUCUAUCCCAUGCUCCCACCAACACUACAGCUCCAGCAGCUCUGAAGGUCCUUCCAACUCACCCCCUCUACUUGGUCUGAGCUGCCUCACAUGUGGAAGUCAGUCACCCCAAUGCUUGAUAUUUUGCUUUCUGAUGCCGUGACAGUCCACUUGACCUGUACAGUGCUUCUAGGGGUACUCAGAACACACAAGGACAACACAGGAGAGUCUGUGAGUCAGCUCCCAACGAUGGUCUAAAUGAUCCUACUUUCUCAAAAGCCUGCUGCCCCAUGGGAAUCAAUACUCUCCAAGGCCCUCUACUUACCAUGGGAGCACAGCCCCCUGCAAACCUCUCGCCCCGCUCUUGAUUAGGACCUGCCCGCUGGCCCUGACGUGCUCCCGUGUCUCCCCAUGUGGGCACUGUAUGAGGAGGAUCCCUUCACAAGCUCUGACAAUGCUCUGUCUUCAAAGCAGUAAACAACCCUUAAACCCAGUGGUAAGAGAACCUCACCUGGCCUCGCUCACCUCUCUGAGUCGAAACGGACCUGACAGAGGAAAAGGCUUAUGUACUUCAGCAACAGGCUCACUCUUCUUCCCCAGACCAUUAAGUUCACAAUGUACCUUCAAUGUCCACUUACCUUCAAUUCGAAUAACAACAGGAAGGCCAAAUAGUCAAUGCCAUUCUGGGCUUGAUUUUAAGAGGAAGAGACAAAUGAAAAGCCAUUAGGUUACCAGGGAUUUACCCCCAAAAGCAACUUCCAGAGAGACUGCAGGGUGUUUCCAUACAUGGUCUGGCCUCCUGUACUUUCUCCACAUGCCUUUUUGUGGCCAAGGAAUCCUCUGAACAGAGCCUGUUCCACUAGAGGCCUCCACCCUAAGCCAAAGCAGGUCAUCCACAGGACAUCUGGGAUGCUCGGGGGAUGUUCCCUACCUUCUAAGGGUGACACGGUACCUUCUCAAGGAGCAUGUCUUAAGGCUGCCAACGGUGAGUGACAUAUAUCAGUCCCCGUGGGUCAACAAUCACACCCAGUACCAUUCUCCUUAUGUAAUUCCUUGGAGUAUCAAGUUUCUGAUUCUGGACUAAGCCCUUUAUAAGUUCUUCAAAACUAGAAGUUCCUAGAGGACAGGAACCAAGUCUCCAUUUCCACCUCCCAAUCCCUCAGCACAGAUGCAGGCAGCCAGAGCAGACCCAUGAGAGGCUACCGCUAGCGAAGCAGCCACCAAGCACCCCAAGACAAAGGGACACUUGACACUGAAAUCCAGCCCUGAGACUGCCUGGAUUCAGAGAGAAGGUCUGGUACCCCCAGGGAGAAAAAGAAAAUAACAGUUCUAAUAUUGGCUAGGAAAUGGGUCACAUUCAUUUUCUCAAGGCAUAAAUAAGGGAAAUUAUCCUUUUACCCACUUUUUUAAAAUGUUGAGAUUAGACAGUCAUUUGACAAGCUGCGAAUGCUUAGCUGAUAUUACUGCAAAUUAUCCUUCUAGCAAUAGAGUUCGUGGCUCUCUGACUAGUCAAUAUUAAUAAACAUUACCGAAUGCUUUUACAACACAAUUUAUUUUUUAAUACAGCUCUUUAUGUAUGUCAUAAAGUAAAUAUACCAAUAAAAGGCAAGGAUUUCAAACAACAGAUUAAAAAAGGCAACCAAGAACUAACAGAGUGCUAGUUAACACCUUCCGUGCUGCUGAAUGGGGGGCAGGUCUGCACCGGGUGUCGCUCUGCUGGGAACUCAGGCCUGUGGGCCAUGGAAGAUGGUGGCCAUUUGGUUGUUUCAGAGCCUUUUAGAGGGAGGAGAGAGAAUACCAAAGGAGGCACGUUUGCUCAAGAAUGUAGAUGAGAAGUGUGGUAUACUGACUGACCGAAACACUAGACUAGUAGUGGGGGGCUCAGUGUUCACCCCAGCUCUGCCAGGAACCAUCCAGGUGACCUUGGUCAAACCACUUACCCUCUCUAGAUUUCAGCCUGCAGCUUUGCAACAAUGCAAGAAUUGAGUUAGAUGAUUUCCUAGGUCCUUUCCAGUCAUGUUUAUGACACCGAAAGGCUGUGGGGUUGACAGGGGCCUGUGCUAGCCAGACUAUACCCUCCUUCAUGAAGAAUCCAUGCCAGAUCCAUCCCCUCAGCCUCUGUGAUUGAGCCCAGAACACAGGAGGGACUCAGUGCAUCUCUGUUGAAUGAAUGAACGAACAAACAUCAAAGGGGACUCAAGGAGAGAAAAUGUAGAGGCUGAAAACUCCCCCACUGCCUCUACACACACACACACACACACACACACACACACACACCCCAGUACGAGAACAGCUGUCCCUACAGAUGG